rnacentral:rRNA from 1 species
GAUGAACGCUGGCGGCGUGCCUAAUACAUGCAAGUCGAGCGAACGGACGCGACGCUUGCUUCUCUGUUGUUAGCGGCGCACGUGUGUGUCACACGUGGAUACCCUACCUAUAAGUCUGGUAUCUCUUCGGGACACCGUAUCUUAUCCCGUAUAAUCUUUUGCACCGCAUGGUUCAUAAGUGAAUUUCGGUCUUUCUGUCACUUCUCGCUGCAUCUGCGCUGCAUUAGCUAGUUGGUAAGGUAACGGCUUUCCAAGGCGACGAUGCAUAGCCGACGGGAGAGGGUGAUAGGCGACACUGGAACUGAGACACGGUCCAGACGCCUACGGGAGGCAGCAGUAGGGAAUCUUCCGCAAUGGGCGAAAGCAUGACGGAGCAACGCGGCGUGAGUGAUGAAGGUCUUCGGAGCGUAAAACUCUGUUAUUAGGGAAGAACAGAUGUGUAAGGAAAUGAGCAGAGCUUGACGGUACCUAAUCAGAAAGCCACGGCUAACUACGUG